rnacentral:rRNA from 1 species
AAUGAACGUUGGCGGCGUGGAUUAGGCAUGCAAGUCGUACGGACAAGAGGGAGCUUGCUCCCUUGAGUUAGUGGCGAAAGGGAUAGGACAAUAUAGGUCAUCUGCCCCCAGGACGCGGAUAGCUACGGGAAACUGUAGGUAAUACGCGAUAAUUUCUCCGGAACAAAGGUGUGAUUCCGCCUGGGGAUGAGCCUAUAGCCUAUUAGCUUGUUGGCGGGGUAACGGCCCACCAAGGCUAUGAUGGGUACGAGGCGUGAGAGCGUGUCCUCGAUCACUGGGACUGAGACACUGCCCAGACACCUACGGGUGGCUGCAGUCGAGAAUCUUCGGCAAUGGACGAAAGUCUGACCGAGCGACGCCGCGUGAGCGAUGAAGGUCUUCGGAUUGUAAAGCUCUGUAAGUUGGGAGGAAAUGUAUGGGGGUUCUCCCCUGUACUUGACCUAUCUUCAAAGUAAGGACGGGCUAAGUUCGUGCCAGCCGCCGCAGUAACAC